UACGUAGGGUGCAAGCGUUAUCCGGAAUUAUUGGGCGUAAAGAGCGCGUAGGCGGUCCGAUAAGUCGGCUGUGAAAGUCAGGGGCUCAACCCUUGAAAGCCGGCCGAUACUGUCGGACUAGAGUCCGGAAGAGGCAAGUGGAAUUCCCGGUGUAGCGGUGAAAUGCGCAGAUAUCGGGAGGAACACCAAUGGCGAAGGCAGAUCUCUGGGCCGUAACUGACGCUGAGGAGCGAAAGCAUGGGGAGCGAACAGG
rnacentral:rRNA from 1 species